rnacentral:rRNA from 1 species
GCUAAUACCGCAUAUUCUGUGAGCAGGAAAGCAGGGGACCGCAAGGCCUUGCGCUCUUUGAGCGGCCGAUGUCAGAUUAGCUAGUUGGUGAGGUAAAGGCUUACCAAGGCGACGAUCUGUAGCGGGUCUGAGAGGAUGAUCCGCCUCACUGGAACUGAGACACGGUCCAGACUCCUACGGGAGGCAGCAGUGGGGAAUUUUGGACAAUGGGGGCAACCCUGAUCCAGCCAUGCCGCGUGAGUGAAGAAGGCCUUCGGGUUGUAAAGCUCUUUCGGCCGGGAAGAAAUCGCAUGGGCCAAUACCCUGUGUGGAUGACGGUACCGGAAUAAGAAGCACCGGCUAACUACGUGCCAGCAGCCGCGGUAAUACGUAGGGUGCGAGCGUUAAUCGGAAUUACUGGGCGUAAAGCGUGCGCAGGCGGUUUUGUAAGACAGGCGUGAAAUCCCCGGGCUUAACCUGGGAACUGCGUUUGUGACUGCAAGGCUAGAGUACGGCAGAAGGGGGUGGAAUUCCACGUGUAGCAGUGAAAUGCGUAGAGAUGUGGAGGAACACCAAUGGCGAAGGCAGCCCCCUGGGUCGAUACUGACGCUCAUGCACGAAAGCGUGGGUAGCAAACAGGAUUAGAUACCCUGGUAGUCCACGCCCUAAACUAUGUCAACUAGGUGUUGGGUGGGUAAAACCAUUUAGUACCGUAGCUAACGCGUGAAGUUGACCGCCUGGGGAGUACGGCCGCAAGGUUAAAACUCAAAGGAAUUGACGGGGACCCGCACAAGCGGUGGAUGAUGUGGAUUAAUUCGAUGCAACGCGAAAAACCUUACCUACCCUUGACAUGCCAGGAACUUGCCAGAGAUGGCUUGGUGCCCGAAAGGGAGCCUGGACACAGGUGCUGCAUGGCUGUCGUCAGCUCGUGUCGUGAGAUGUUGGGUUAAGUCCCGCAACGAGCGCAACCCUUGUCGUUAAUUGCCAUCAUUUGGUUGGGCACUUUAACGAGACUGCCGGUGACAAACCGGAGGAAGGUGGGGAUGACGUCAAGUCCUCAUGGCCCUUAUGGGUAGGGCUUCACACGUCAUACAAUGGUCGGUACAGAGGGUUGCCAAGCCGCGAGGCGGAGCCAAUCCCAGAAAGCCGAUCGUAGUCCGGAUUGCAGGCUGCAACUCGCCUGCAUGAAGUCGGAAUCGCUAGUAAUCGCGGAUCAGCAUGUCGCGGUGAAUACGUUCCCGGGUCUUGUACACACCGCCCGUCACACCAUGGGAGCGGGUUCCGCCAGAAGUAGGUAGCCUAACCGCAAGGAGGGCGCUUACCACGGCGGGGUUCGUGACUGGGGUGAAGUCGUAACAAGGUA